rnacentral:rRNA from 1 species
UACAGAGGGGGCAAGCGUUGUUCGGAAUUACUGGGCGUAAAGGGCGCGUAGGCGGCCCGCUAAGUCGAACGUGAAAUCCCUGGGCUCAACCCAGGAACUGCGUCCGAUACUGGCAGGCUUGAAUCCGGGAGAGGGAUGUGGAAUUCCAGGUGUAGCGGUGAAAUGCGUAGAUAUCUGGAGGAACACCGGUGGCGAAGGCGGCAUCCUGGACCGACACUGACGCUGAGGAGCGAAAGCCAGGGGAGCAAACGGG